UGCCGGCUCUUAGGCCCGCACCGGAAGACGUGGAGCACCGCAGCUGCAGCAGGUUUCUCAAAGAUGAAAGUGACCUUGUCAGCUCUGGAUACUUAUGAAAGUUCUUUCACACCUUUGGUGGUCAUAGAACUUGCUCAGGAUGUCAAAGAAGAAACCAAAGAAUGGCUGAAAAACAGAAUUGUCACUAAAAAAAAAGAUGGAGGUGCCCCGUUGUUGUUUAGACCAUUGUUAAAUAAAUAUGAAAAAGAGACUCUAGAAAAUCAGAACUUAUAUCUUGUUGGUGCCUCCAACAUUAGAUUGUUGCUAGGAGCAGAGGCAGUGGGUUUGGUAAAAGAGUGCAAUGAUAAUACCAUGAGAGCCUUCACAUAUGGAACCCGGCAGAACUUCAAAGGUUUUGAUGAUAACAAUGAUAAUUUCCUCACAAUGGCAGAAUGUCAAUUCAUUAUCAAACAUGAACUUGAAAAUCUUAGAGCUAAAGAUGAAAAAAUGAUCCCUGGUUAUCCCCAGGUAAAGUUGUAUCCAGGAAAAUCGUUACUGAGAAGAUUACUCACGUCUGGCAUCGUGGUUCAGGUGUUUCCACUGCAUGAUAAUGAAGCCCGGAAGAAGCUUGAGGACACCUGGUACACUCGGUUUACUUUCAAGUAUCAGCCCAUAGACAGUAUUCGUAGCUACUUUGGAGAAUCAAUUGCUCUUUACUUUGGAUUUUUGGAAUAUUUCACUUUUGCCUUAAUCCCCAUGGCUGUCAUCGGUUUACCUUACUACAUGUUUGUGUGGGAAGACUAUGACAAGUAUGUGAUCUUUGCCUCAUUCAACCUGAUCUGGUCUAUGGUGAUCCUGGAAGUGUGGAAGUGUGGCUGUGCCAACAUGACCUACAGGUGGGGGAUGCUGCUCAUGAAGAGACAGUUUGAGGAACCCCGGCCUGGAUUUCAUGGUGUCCUGGGUAUCAAUUCUGUCACCGGCAGGGAGGAGCCUCUCUACCCCAGCUACAAGAGGCAGUUGCGAAUUUACCUGGUCUCCCUGCCAUUUGUGUGCCUCUGUCUCUAUUUCUCUCUGUAUGUCAUGAUGAUUUACUUCGACAUGGAGGCCUGGGCCUUAGGUCUACAUGAGAACAGCGGAUCUGAGUGGACCAAUAUCCUGUUGUAUGUGCCCAGCAUCAUCUAUGCCAUUGUGAUUGAGAUUAUGAACCGCCUCUAUCGAUAUGCUGCCGAGUUUUUAACUUCAUGGGAGAAUCACAGAUUGGAAUCUGCCUAUCAGAAUCAUCUAAUUCUGAAAGUUUUAGUGUUUUAACUUUCUCAAUUGCUUUGCCUCACUCUUCUAUUGCUUUGCCUUUGUCCUGAAGGAUAUGAAGCUUUUGCGCCAGAGCCUGGCCACACUUCUGAUUACCUCCCAGAUCCUUAACCAGGUUGUGGAAUCUCUUCUUCUUUAUUGGCUCCAAAGAAAGCAUGGUGUGCAGGUGAAGAGGAAGAUGCAGGCCAUAAAGGCAGACAUCGAUGCUACAUUAUAUGAACAAGUCACCCUGGAAAAAAAAAUGGGAACUUAUUUGGGUACCUUCAAUGAUUACUUGGAGUUAUUCCUGCAGUUUGGUUAUGCGAGCCUUUUCUCCUGUGUUUACCCUUUAGCAGCUGCCUUUGCAGUGUUAAAUAACUUCACUGAAGUCAAUUCAGAUGCCUUAAAAAUGUGCAGAGUCUUCAAACGUCCCUUCUCAGAACCUUCAACCAAUAUUGGUGUAUGGCAGUUGGCUUUUGAAACAAUGAGUGUUAUAUCUGUGGUUACUAACUGUGCUCUGAUUGGAAUGUCACCACAAGUGAAUGCAGUCUUCCCAGAAUCAAAAACGGAUCUCAUUUUGAUUGUAGUAGCAAUGGAGCAUGCACUCCUGGCUUUAAAGUUUAUACUUGCAUUUGCCAUACCUGAUAAGCCACGGCAUAUUCAGAUGAAACUGGCCAGAUUGGAUUUUGAGUCUUUGGAGGCACUCAAGCAGCAGUAAA